CGCUCCGCGCCGCCGGCCUAGCCGGGGCUGCCGGGCCAGGCCCGCCAUGGAGGUGGAAGAGGCGUUCCAGGCGGUGGGGGAGAUGGGCAUCUACCAGAUGUACUUGUGCUUCCUGCUGGCCGUGCUGCUGCAGCUCUACGUGGCCACGGAGGCCAUCCUCAUCGCCCUGGUGGGGGCCACGCCCGCGUACCGCUGGGACCUGGCGGGGCUCCUGCCCAAUCAGAGCCUCGGCAACCGGUCAGCAGGUGACGAGCGCGCGCUCGGGGACUGGCUGCGGACGGCCAACGGCAGCGAGGUCCGCAAGCACGUGCACUUCAGCGGCAGCUUCACCUCCAUCGCGUCUGAGUGGUUUUUAAUUGCCAACAGAUCUUACAAAGUCAGUGCAGCAAGCUCUUUCUUCUUCAGUGGUGUGUUUGUGGGAGUUAUUUCCUUUGGUCAGCUUUCAGAUCGCUUCGGAAGGAAAAAAGUCUAUCUCACAGGUUUUGCUCUUGACAUCUUAUUUGCUGUUGCAAAUGGGUUUUCCCCCUCCUAUGAGUUCUUUGCCGUAACUCGCUUCCUGGUAGGCGUGAUGAACGGAGGAAUGUCGCUGGUGGCCUUCGUCCUGCUGAACGAAUGUGUGGGCACCGCCUACUGGGCACUCGCAGGAUCGAUCGGUGGCCUCUUCUUCGCAGUUGGCAUUGCCCAGUAUGCCCUGUUGGGAUACUUCAUCCGCUCCUGGAGGACCCUCGCCGUUCUGGUUAACCUACAGGGAACGGUGGUCUUUCUCCUGUCGUUAUUCAUUCCUGAAUCACCUCGUUGGUUAUACUCCCAGGGUCGACUGAGUGAGGCUGAAGCGGCUCUGUACCUCAUUGCCAAAAGGAACCGCAAGCUCAAGUGCACGUUCUCCCUAACAUAUCGGGCUAGCAGGAGCCACAGGGAGACCGGAAGUUUCCUGGAUCUGUUCCGUUACCGGAUCCUCUUGGGGCACACGCUGACCCUGAUGUUCAUCUGGUUUGUGUGCAGCUUGGUGUACUAUGGCCUCACUCUGAGCGCAGGUGAUCUAGGCGGAAAUAUUUAUGCCAACCUGGCCCUGUCUGGCCUCAUAGAGAUUCCAUCCUACCCUAUCUGCAUCUACUUGAUUAACCAAAAAUGGUUUGGUCGGAAGCGGACAUUAGCGGCAUUUCUGUGCCUAGGAGGACUGGCUUGUCUUAUUAUAAUGUUUCUUCCAGAAAAGAAAGACACAGGUGUGUUUGCCGUGGUGAACAGCCAUUCCUUGUCUCUGCUCGGGAAGCUGACGAUCAGCGCGGCCUUUAACGUGGUGUACAUCUACACCUCUGAGCUGUACCCCACAGUCAUCAGGAACGUUGGGCUUGGAACUUGUUCUAUGUUCUCCCGAGUUGGUGGGAUUAUUGCCCCCUUCAUCCCCUCACUGGUUGAGAUAUGUGCAGUGGUCUUUACCCUUCAUUGUCUUUGGAGCCACCGGCCUGACUUCGGGCCUCCUGAGUUUAUUAUUGCCGGAAACCCUUAACAGCCCAUUGCUAGAGACGUUUUCCGACCUUCAGGUGUAUUCAUAUCGGAGGCUAGGGGAUGAAGCAUUAUCUUUACAGACCUUGGAUCCGCCACAGUCUGUGGACAAGGACAACACUUUAGGCAGUGAGAGUGAGGAAGAGGAGGAGUUUUUCGAUGCAGAUGAAGAAACCCAGAUGAUUAAGUGAAGAGCCCCGGCUCCCCCCUCACAAGCAGAUGAUCUCCUUGCCUCUGGUGAAGGCAGGCUUUUCCAGGAAACCUAAGAGUUGUAGAAGCACAGGCUUGAACAUGCAUGGAAGGUCCUCAGCAUGGGCUCAUUUUUUUUCAGGCACAAAGGACAAUGGAGAAGAGAUUUCAUGAGCGAGGACAUCACAGUACUGAAGGAACAGUCGUUUGUUAGUCCACAAUUCAGGUUUAUUUCCGAACCAUGACUUCUGGCCAGAUAGCUCAAAUCCGCACACCAGAGUGGAAAGCUAAUUUGUUUCUAGAAGUCUGACUGUGUUGCUUAUCCUUGAUCAUGACCUAAAGGCAGACAUGUAAAAUUCCUUCUCACCACGUUAGUGGAAUAAGAUAAACCAUCCUUAAGAUUUCAUCCUAAUACCAUAUUUGACGUCUACCCCCAUCAUCUGUGCCUCACCAGGAAUCUCUUGAGGCCGACUGUUGUUCACAUUCCAGUUUUUUGCCAGAGGAAUAGCACUGAGAGGUAACUGUAUGUGGCCCAAGGCCUCCAGCUUUACCCUAACUGUUCACCCCUUGCUUUCCAAGCUUAGGGUUGGCUUGAGCUCCUCGUGCCUUGAGUCCUACAGACGAUCGCCUAGGAAAAGCCAACUGUACUGAAGCGAUUUUCUGAGAGCCCGAGGUGUGGCUGCAGUUCCCUGUCCAUUCCCUUUGACAGUUCAGACCUGUGCGCGUCUCCAGAAACUGGUCCAUCUCAGAUUCCAGUACCAGCACUCACUUCAGAACCGUGCUCGGUAACAGAUGAAGCUUUGUGAGGGCGGAGAGCACUUGCAGAGUGACAGACAUGUUGGGCACUUGAAAAGGGGCAGCUUUUAUAAGGAAGAAAAGAAAAUGAUCUGUCACGGGUUUUUGUUUGUCUGUUUUCGGCAUUGUGCAACAAGGCACUUGGGCAACCGUUAAGAACUUGAACGCUUCUGAUCCCAGAUCAGUCCCUGCCUCUGUAGUCAGAGUAAAAAGCAAGUAAUUUCAUAGGAAAUGUGGUUUUUUUCAUGAAGUACUGCCAACUUUAAAAUAAGUCUGUCACACUUAGUUUUCUAAAAUCAUAUGCUGGAAAUACCUGUUUCCCUUGAAACUUGAAUGCUAUCUCAAGUAGGAGUAUUAACCUGGAAUCAACAAGUUUGUGCAAUAUGGCCUUAGGCUGCUUUCCCAACAAGGAACAUUCCUGUGUCUUCAGAAUUUCCAUUUUGCUAACUUUGGGAGAAAGAGAAGUUGCAUUGGAGGUAAAGAGAAGACGUCAUGGGGCCUGCUUCUGGAAAUCUUGGAGGCAUCACCCCCAGUUGGCUCUGACACUUUCCUGUCCCCUUCCACGCUAACCUCUUGGUUUGCACUCUUAUUAGUCUGUACCUUUGUAUUUGUUAAAGUAUUUUUAUGUCCUUUAUGCCCUUGAUGAUAUUUUGAGCUCUUCAUAAAUAGGGACCAUCUCUCCUGCUGUUUGUUUCUCUCUGCUAUUUGCCGAAGAAUAUGGGCCUAGACACAAUCAGUAUCUAAUAAAUAUUACUGUUUCUAACCAUCAAGAAAACUGUGGAACUCCUUGCAGUAUCAUUUUUAUAAAUCCCAGGCAAAUGUGACCCAAACCCUCAAACUGUGGAAUCCUGCUUUUCUAUCUCUGGCAGAUUGGAGACACUGCCCCCCACCAGGAGAGGAAGACAGGAGGAACUUACAAGGACACUUAGAAGGUCUUCUUAGUGGUUGGGCAUUAAAAAUAAAACACUGAACUAGCAUAUAUGUGCUCUUCGGUCAGUUAGAGCGCUCUUUGCAUUAUGAGAAUAAUACGUCCCCUUAUAGAAAAUUUGGAAACUAGAAGUUAAAAAAUCUAUCACCCAUAGGCCCAACACCCAGGGGCAACCAGUGUGAUGGCUUGGUUCUAACUGAAGACCAGUUGGGAAUCCAUCUCUCUGUUGGCACUGGGGUUCCCUCUGCCUCUGCCUAAAUAAAUGAGGAUUCCAUUAGUUCUAUCCCUGGGUCUCCUGCUUCCCCAACUGUGGGGUAGAAAAAGGGAAGGGUGUUAUACAUGUUGCCUAAUAAGAAGGCCAGGCAGGCUACCAACUGCUCGAGUCAGUUGUAUCACUGAUAAGGUCGUUGUUUCUUUCUAGAUGGUCCUUUGGUGAAGUUUAAUAUUUACUGUUUUUUCAUUCUACCACCUUUUAUAAAGAGAUUUUUUUUCCUUUUGUUAUUAAAUGUUGAAGAAUAGUGAUUGUAGAGAAUGUGUACCUGUGUAUAUUUGCACUGAUUAAAUGAUUGGAAAGCUUUUAAUUUACAGGGAACAUAAUUUGUACAAGUGAUUUGUAAAAAGCAUCUUUUUUAUUCAAAUUUAAAUUUCUUUUCUCCUCAAAAACAGCAAGAAAAAUGUAAGACACGUAAGAAACCCCCAGUUUCUUGGGUCAAAGGUCUUAGAACAGCUUGUCCAGAACUUUGGUACUGAUGUGUUAAAAGAAACAGUGUUGUAGUUUCCUGAUGUGGUGAGUUAAAACCAGUGCCCAUUGAAAAUGCAAUAUUUGUCAUUUGGCUGCUUUCAAGCAAUAUAGACAUUCUUUAGUAUUUAAAAAUAAGCAAAUAAAAUACAACAAAUAAGAAGCAAAUGAAAGUUUCUGAGGCACUGCUUAAGUGAAUAUAAUCUGGGCAGGUAUUUCUGUGGAGGUCAAAUUGAUGAAGGUACUGUUAGUAGAUUUAUAUUCUUUUUUUUUUCUAAGAUUUUAUUUAUUUGACAGAGAGAAAGCACAAGCAGGGGGAGCAGCAGAGGGAGAGGGAGAGGCAGGCUCCCCACUGAGCCGGGACCCUGACGUGGGACUCAAUCCUGGGACCCGGGAUCAUGACCUGAACUGAAGGCAGACGCUUAACCGACUGAGCCACCCGGGCACCCAGUAGUUUUAUAUUCUUAACAAAAACAUUGAAAUAAUUGUCACUAGCACAUCAGAAUUAUUUUUUUUUUCAAGAUUU